GAUGAACGCUAGCUACAGGCUUAACACAUGCAAGUCGAGGGACCGGCGCACGGGUGAGUAACACGUAUCCAACCUGCCCUUUACUCGGGGAUAGCCUUUCGCAAGACAGCUUAAUACCCGAUGUAACGGAUGGGGAUGCGUUCCAUUAGGUUGUUGGUGAGGUAACGGCUCACCAAGCCUUCGAUGGAUAGGGGUUCGGAGAGGAAGGUCCCCCACAUUGGAACUGAGACACGGUCCAAACUCCUACGGGAGGCAGCAGUGAGGAAUAUUGGUCAAUGGGCGUUAGCCUGAACCAGCCAAGUAGCGUGAAGGAUGAAGGCUUAUGGGUAGUAAACUUCUUUUAUAUAAGAAUAUGUAUUAUAUGAAUAAGGAGCGGCUAACUCCGUGCCAGCCGCCGCGGUAAUUC
rnacentral:rRNA from 1 species